rnacentral:rRNA from 1 species
UACGAAGGGGGCUAGCGUUGUUCGGAAUUACUGGGCGUAAAGCGCACGUAGGCGGAUUUGUAAGUCAGGGGUGAAAUCCCGGGGCUCAACCUCGGAACUGCCUUUGAUACUGGGGAUCUCGAGUCCGGAAGAGGUGAGUGGAACUCCGAGUGUAGAGGUGAAAUUCGUAGAUAUUCGGAAGAACACCAGUGGCGAAGGCGGCUCACUGGUCCGGUACUGACGCUGAGGUGCGAAAGCGUGGGGAGCAAACAGG